rnacentral:lncRNA from 1 species
AAAAAAGAAAAAGAAAAAGAAAAAAACUUUCUUUUAUGAGACAAAUGCUUAUAUAUUCCUGAAAAGUUUCCGACUUUCUGAUUUACUUUUCUUAGAAGACUAAUAUUGAAAAUACUCUUUUUACGGCCCAACUAUUUCAAAUAUAUUCCCGAAGUUCAAUUUCGUUAAUGAACAAUUAACAAUAGCUGUUAUCUGUACGAAAUUACUAUUUUGUCCUUUCAAAUAUAUCCUUCCAUCAUUACUGACUUUUCUUAUUUGCCCUUAAGUUAGAGGUACAAAAAAUAUUUUGAUUUUUGAUCUUUUUAAAUAUAUUCUUCUACCAUCACCAAUAUUUCUUAUUUGCUCUUAAGUGAAAGACAAAAAAGAAUUUUGAUUUUUUUUUUUUAACUCUAGUAGAUAUUUAACUCACGUUUAACCUAAGUUAACUUAACGGAUGGUAACUGUAAAGAUAUUUUGAAAUAACGGAGGAACAUAUGAGGGAUAUAUUGGAAAGAAAAAAAAUAGAAAUAAAUAAAAUAUUUCUGAAAUUUUGAGGGAUAUAUAGACAAUUAUCUUUUCUUUUAUUUUUGUGAUGUUUCAGUGUACAUGGAA